AGGCAUAUAACAGCUUCCAUCGUAUGCC
rnacentral:sRNA from 1 species